UUAAGUGUAUGGGUGCAAACCAAACAACUCUUGAUUCACAAGACGAUAUGCCACUAUAUCGUCCUAAAAUAGUAUAGGUCGAGCCCAAGAGAAAGUAUUGUUGUGUACAAGGAACAAUGUAUCACUGGUUGGGGAAUAAACAGUUCGAGAUCAAAGAAUAAGUAUCUUGGAUCCAAGAAGAGAUAAACUCUAAAUCGAAGAGCAAGGUGGUGUCUAAACCCAAAAAGAUUGAAUUAAAU
rnacentral:lncRNA from 1 species